CCCUGGACAAAGACUGACGCUUCCAGGUGCGAAAGUGUGGGGAGCAAACAGGAUUAGAUACCCCUGGUAGUCCACGCUGUAAACGAUGUCGAUUUGGAGGUUGUGCCCUUGAGGCGUGGCUUCCGGAGCUAACGCGUUUAAAUCGACCGCCUGGGGAGUACGGCCGCAAGGUUAAAACUCAAAUGAAUUGACGGGGGCCCGCACAAGCGGUGGAGCAUGUGGUUUAAUUCGAUGCAACGCGAAGAACCUUACCUACUCUUGACAUCCACAGAAUUCGGCAGAGAUGCUUUAGUGCCUUCGGGAACUGUGAGACAGGUGCUGCAUGGCUGUCGUCAGCUCGUGUUGUGAAAUGUUGGGUUAAGUCCCGCAACGAGCGCAACCCUUAUCCUUUGUUGCCAGCGGUUCGGCCGGGAACUCAAAGGAGACUGCCAGUGAUAAACUGGAGGAAGGUGGGGAUGACGUCAAGUCAUCAUGGCCCUUACGAGUAGGGCUACACACGUGCUACAAUGGCGUAUACAAAGAGAAGCGACCUCGCGAGAGCAAGCGGACCUCAUAAAGUACGUCGUAGUCCGGAUUGGAGUCUGCAACUCGACUCCAUGAAGUCGGAAUCGCUAGUAAUCGUAGAUCAGAAUGCUACGGUGAAUACGUUCCCGGGCCUUG
rnacentral:rRNA from 1 species